rnacentral:lncRNA from 1 species
AGAAUCCUUCACAAAGCAGGCCGCAGGGACCGGAUGUCUUUAAGCAGCGACAGAAUUCGGUCCUAUGCUGUACUUCCUUCCUUCUCCUUCCUUUACAGGUGACAAAACCUCCCAGAUCUAAAAGUUGGAUAAAGUUAAAUAUCCUGCCUAAGGCAGAUGAAGGCAGCUGUGGCUAGGCCUCCACGGAACAUGGAAAGGGCUGCAAAGUCCAGGCAAAGAGCACUGGCUCCAGCCUCCACAAGUCCUCUGUCCUCCCCUCCAGCAGCACCAAGGACCACCAGGACUCGGGCUGUCAGCUGGCCUCUUCAGAACUCCUUCCUACAGGUCAAAUCUUCACCCUGGCAACCUCUCACCUUGACAACAGUGUAAGGGGCAAAAGAGAAAGAAAUGCAGCCAGAGGCUUUUCAAUGAGACCCAAAUUCUUUCCGUGCCUGACUCAUUGUGUGUAGUCUCCCCUCCCCUAGCCUGAAACCUGCUUGCUCGGGGUGGAGCUUCCUGCUCAUUCGUUCUGCCACGCCCACUGCUGGAACCUGAGGAGCCACACACGUGCACCUUUCUACUGGACCAGAGAUUAUUCGGCGGGAAUCGGGUCCCCUCCCCCUUCCUUCAUAACUGGUGUCGCAACAAUAAAAUUUGAGCCUUGAUCAGAGUAA